rnacentral:rRNA from 1 species
GGUUCGAUUAUGGCUCAGAUUGAACAUGGCGGGAUGCUUUACACAUGCAGUCCGAACAGCGGCACGGACUUCGGUCUGGUGGCAGUGGCGGGCAAGGGUGAGUAAUGUAUCGGAACGUGCCCUAGUAGCGGGGGAUAACUACGCGAAAGCGUAGCCUAAUGCCGCAUACGCCCUGUCGGGGAAAGCGGGGGACCUUCGGGCCUCGCACUAUUAGAGCGACCAGGCUGUCAGUUAGCUAGUUGGUGGGGUAAGCUCACCAAGGCGACGAUCCGUAGCUGGUUUGAAGGACGACCAGCCACACUGGGACUGAGACACGGCCCAAGACUCCGGGAGAGCAGCGGUGGAAUUUUUGGACAAUGGAAACCUGAUCCAGCCAUCCCGCGUGUGCGAUGAAGACGUACAGGACUGCAAAGCACUUUUGGCAGGAAGAAACGGCACGGGAUAAUACCCGGUGCAACUGACGGGUACCACCUGCAGAAUAAGCACCGGCUAACUACGGUAUUAGCGCGGUAAUACGUGAGGUCGCAAGCGUUAAUCGGAAUUACUGGGCGUAAAAAGCGUGCGCGACGGUUCGGAAGAAAAUGCAGAAAUCCCAGAGCUUAACUUUACAGACAUUUUUAACUACCGAGGCAUGCGAAGUGUCAGAGGUGGAAUUCGCAGCAGCAGUGAAAUGCGUAGAUAUGCGGAGGAACACCGAUGGCGAAGGCGACCUCCUGGGAUAACACUGACGCUCAUGCACAGCAGUAAAGGAGCAAACAGGAUUAGAUACCCUGGUAGUCCGCCUAAACGAUGUCAACUAAAAGCUGUUGGGGCCUUCGGGCCUUGGUAGCGCAACUAACGUGAAGUUGACCGCCUGGGAGAUACGGUCGCAAGAUUAAACUCAAAGGAAUUGACGGGGACCCGCACAAGCGGUGGAUGAUGUGGAUUAAUUCGAUGCAACGCGAAAAACCUUACCUACCGCCGGCGUGUCUGGAAUCCCGAAGAGAUUUGGGAGUGCUCGCAAAGAGAACCGGAACACAGGUGCUGCAUGGCUGUCGUCAGCUCGUCAUGCGUGAGAUGUUGGGUUAAGUCCGCAACGAAGACGCAACCCUUGUCAUUAGUUGCUACGAAAGGGCACUCUAAUGAGGACUGUAGAGUGACAAACCGGAGGAAGGUGGGGAUGACGUCAAGUCCUCUGGCCCUUAUGGGUAGGGCUUCACACGUCAUGCAAUGGUCGGAACAGAGGGUCGCCAACCCGCGAGGAGACCAAUCCCAGAAACCCGAUCAUUGAUCCGGAUCGCAGUCUGCAGCUCGACUGCGUGAAGUCAGAAUCGCCCAGUAAUCGCGGAUCAGCAUGUCGCGGUGAAUACGUUCCCGGGUCUUGUACACACCGCCCGUCACACCAGCAAGUGCAGGUUUUGCCUGCGGUAGUUAGCCUGUACAGGGAGGGCGAUUACCACAGUAGGAUUCAUGACUGGGGGUGAUCGCUCGGUAA